GGAAUAUUGGGCAAUGGGCGCAAGCCUGACCCAGCAACGCCGCGUGAAGGAAGAAGGCCUUCGGGUUGUAAACUUCUUUUAUGAGGGACGAAGGACGUGACGGUACCUCAUGAAUAAGCCACGGCUAACUACGUGCCAGCAGCCGCGGUAAUACGUAGGUGGCAAGCGUUGUCCGGAUUUACUGGGUGUAAAGGGCGCGUAGGCGGGUCGUCAAGUCAGAUGUGAAAUCUAUGGGCUCAACUCAUAAACUGCAUUUGAAACUGACGGUCUUGAGUAUCGGAGAGGCAAGCGGAAUUCCUAGUGUAGCGGUGAAAUGCGUAGAUAUUAGGAGGAACACCAGUGGCGAAGGCGGCUUGCUGGACGACAACUGACGCUGAGGCGCGAAAGCGUGGGGAGCAAACA
rnacentral:rRNA from 1 species